UAAUGUUAGCAAUUGUUAAUAUUAUUUUUAUUUAUUAAUUUUUGUAAAGAGAAUCCGAAAAAAUGUCGACAAUUUUUUGGGACGCUUGUAAAAAUAUUAUUGUGAAAAAAAAAAAAAAUUAAUACAUCAAAAAAAAUUUUUUUCGACCAAUUUGACGUAAUUUUAGUUGUACGUAAUAAUAAAAAAAUAUAAAUAUAUUUGAUGUAUUAAUUAUCCUAGAUUAUAAAUAAUUUAAAAAUUGUCGGCACUAUAUUUUGAAUGUAAAAAACUCCUAUUAAAAUAGAUGUUAAAUCACUAAAAAAAAUGCCUUAAAACCUGUAAUUAUAACAAUGGUAUUCAUCAUAUUUGUGUUAAGAAGAAUAAAUAAAAUGAAAAUUAAAAGGGAUUGCUAAUUAAAUAAUAAUUAUAUUACUAAAGUGCCUGAUUAGCAACUUAACUAAAUUAUAUUAUAUAACACUCCCUAUUCUUCUAAUUGAAAUCUUGUAGAUACACAAGUAAAGUACAGAGAAACUAUAAAUUGUUUAUGUCUUAUUGCACAAUAAUAAACACAAAAAAAAUUAGAUUUAGUAAAAUUAAAUGUUUCAGAAUGUAAUUUUUCUUCGACAAUCAUCGUAUUAGAAAUUAGCUUGAAGAUAUGAUGAAUACGCAUUUAUUAGAUUUGAGGGAUCUCUACUAGUUUGGUUCUGAAAAAUUUAGGUCAUAGUAUUUUAAAGAGAUUAAUGUUGAAUUUUUUGAAAAAUAUUCAAUUCGUUUGAGAAGAAUUUGAAAAUUUUUUAAUUUCUGAUCAAUGAUCAUUGGUCAUAUAUGAUCACAUAUGGUCAUUUAUGACCAUAUAUGAUCAUUCAUGACUAUAUGUCAUCAUUGAUCAGAUAUGGUCAUUUAUGACCAUAUGUCAUCAUUGAUCAGAUAUGGUCAUUUAUGACUAUAUGUCAUCAUUGAUCAUAUAUGAUCAUUCAUGACUAUAUGUCAUCAUUGAUCAGAUAUGGUCAUUUAUGACCAUACAUGAUCGUUGGUCUAUAUGGUCAUUUAUGAUCAUACAUGAUCGUUGGUCAUAUACGGUCAUUUAUGAUCAUUGAUCCUAUAUGGUCAUUUAUGACCAUAAAUGAUCAUUGGUCACAUAUAACCAUUUAUGAUCAUUAGUCAUAUAUGACCAUAUAUGAUCGGUGAUCAUAUAUAAUCAUUGCUCAUAUAUGAUCAUUGUUCAGAUAUGACCAUAUAUGAUCAUUGUUCUGAUAUGACCAUAUAUGUUCAUUAUUCAGAUAUGACCAUAUAUGAUCAUUGUUCAGAUAUGACCAUAUAUGAUCAUUGUUCAGAUAU